GAUGAACGCUAGCGGCAGGCUUAACACAUGCAAGUCGAGGGGCAGCACAGGUAGCAAUACUGGGUGGCGACCGGCAAACGGGUGCGGAACACGUACACAAUCUACCUUUAUCUGGGGGAUAGCCCGAAGAGAUUCGGAUUAACACCCCAUAAAAUAACAGAGUGGCAUCACUUAAUUAUUAAAACUCCGGUGGAUAGAGAUGAGUGUGCGUCCCAUGAGCUAGUUGGUAGGGUAACGGCCUACCAAGGCGACGAUGGGUAGCUGGUGUGAGAGCACGACCAGCCACACGGGCACUGAGACACGGGCCCGACUCCUACGGGAGGCAGCAGUGAGGAAUAUUGGUCAAUGGACGCAAGUCUGAACCAGCCAUGCCGCGUGAAGGAUGAAGGCCUUCUGGGUUGUAAACUUCUUUUAUUGGGGAAGAAAAUUAUGGUUUCUACUAUAACCGACGGUACCCAAGGAAUCAGCACCGGCUAACUCCGUGCCAGCAGCCGCAGUAACAC
rnacentral:rRNA from 1 species